AGUUUAACACCUGACUAAUUGAUUAUCCUGAAAAGCCAUACUGUAUAAAUAGAUAUGUUUUGAUUGCAUAUCGAUUUUUAAAUUAAAUGGACAAACCGGUUUUGACAGGUCAUAAUUAAUGUAAUUAAGAGUAUUGGGACUGCAUAAUUAGACCGGAAUUCGGAAUACACAGAGUCCGGUUUACAAAGGGUAUUUUAACAAACACUUUGAAGGGAAAAAAAUGGGACUUUCAUUUUCGGCCGGAAUGGACAGGAAACCGGUUUAUUCAGGGUCC
rnacentral:lncRNA from 1 species